CCGUGAAGACUUUUAAAAUAGAGACCAACGUGGCCGGGCAGGAAGAGCAGGGUCCCGCCUUCAGGUGUUUGGGACUCAGCUGAGGGUGUGGGUGCCCCGCGGUGGGGGCUGAACCUUCCUGGGGUGUGGAGAGACGAAAGGAGCCCAGAUCCAAGUUCCCUCGUUCCCGCUUUGGCAUAAGUUGCCCUGGCGGUCUCAUGAGAGAGAGAAAGAGCUGGGACCCUCCUCGCCCCAUGUAACAUCAGACAAGGGUGUUGACUCUGCAGCACAGAACCAGUAGUUUGUGGAGAAGAAUGGAGGUGUGGUGUUGAAUCUGCUAGACAGGCUACUGAAGCAAAAGUCAAGAGAUCCAGAUUCCAUCAUGGGGACACUUUAGUUCUUCAUCGGGUAAUUGAGCUGAUAUCAGGUGUCUGAAGGAGGCAAGUUUUGAAGAUGUGGGUCAUGAUGGCUGCUGAAGCUUCCACUCCAUAUUUGAAGGUCAGCAGUUCUCAGGAAACCUCUAGCACUUCCAUCCCUGGUGGGAUGUGAUGCCUGUCUCAGUGUAACAUCAGAGAAGGGGUGUACUCUGUGCCCUAGAACUAGGAGCUAACAGAGAAAAACCAAAUGUGAUGUGGAGUCUGCUAGACAGGCUACUGGAGCAAGAGUGAAGCGAUGAAAGUCUCAUCAUUGGGACAUAUUAGUGUGACAUGCAUAAAGGAAUUUCUUAUUGAGCCCCAGGAAGAAGAAACACUACAUAAGAGCAAAUAAUAAAAUCGGUCAGAUAGACAGAAGAUGGGAGUCAUCAAACCUGUAUCCCUCUUGCCAGACCUAUCAACUGACCAUACGUCAUUCAGGAGGCAGCAGGUGGCUGAAAUCCUGGUGUGAUGUGGCUGGAUCAUGCAUGAUCUGAGGACUCCUGCACAGAUGCAGUGGAUCCCCAGGUUGCAAGUCAUAUAACCUGAGCAUGCCCAGAUGAACCAAGUAUGCCUGAUUGGUGAACCUGGAACUGGCCAGAACAGAAAAUGUCAACCACAUGUGGAAUCUAAGUAUUCAGAUUGAGAAAUGAGGACCAAAAUGAGAACACUGAGCUCCUCACACAGGUGACUGAACCCGUGGUUUUGGUGUCUGAGAAGAUGCAGCUUCUCCAGUCUCUGCAACUGACGGCAGGAAGAUGGGAGCACUCAGCUUCAGUGUUCAGAAGCAGAUUUAGGCCAAUUGCCAUACCUUACGUUCUGGAGGGAUCCACCCUGACCUGAGCAGAAGGCAUCACACACAUUCCCAAGCAGCAUGGUUCCCGUGAGAAACUGAAAACUAAUUUCUUGAAUCUACAAUGCGA
rnacentral:lncRNA from 10 species